GGCGCCGCACAGGGAUUUAGCUAGGAAGAACCAUCGGAGAGGCUUGAGAACAGAGGGGCAACAAGACAAGAAGAAAAACAGAGGAAGAAAAAGAGCAAAGGAGCGAGAGAGAGAGAUGGAGGAAGUGGCUUCGGGAAAAAAGGAGAAAAAACUAAGAAAAAGAAAAGACUAAGGGAGAGCCAAGGCAAGAGGGAAGGUUACGGAAACAAAACCAAAAAAAGGGAAAAACAGAGAAGGCCGAGAGAGAAAAGGAGAAAAAGACAAGGAGAAACGGAGAAACGGAGGAAAAAGAAAAUGGAAGAAAAAAAAAUGAGGGAGUGGCGGACGAAUUGAAGACUGGAAAAGCUGCGGGAAACUAAGGAAAAGAAUCAGAAAGAGGGGAGAUUGGUGAAGAAAAAGACGGAGAGAAACAAGAAAAAAAGAGAGCAGAGAAAGGCAGGAAGCGGCUAGGGUUUGGUUUUGGCAGAAAGGCUUCGAGAGGGAAAAGGGUAACAACGAAGGGGGCUGAAGAGAAAGGAGGGGAGAGCUAGGGGGUGAAAGAAGGAGAGAGAGCUUCGGUAGUAGAAAAAUUAUAGGGAAAAGAACAAAAACAGAGGAAAGAAACGGGCGACGGAAGGAGGGCUCUCGGCGAAAAGAAAAAACAAGCGGCCAGGAAAAAACAGAGCGAAGGAGGAAAAGCUGGAAUCCACCGCCUUUGCCUGCAAGAGCAUUUCAGUCGACUUCAGCUGUGGGACGGCGAGCUCCGCCUCUGGAGCCUUCAAUCUGGCACCACCUCCACCUUCAUCAUCAGUCCACCAUGACCACGCCGACAGCCGCCAAUCACCCCAAAUCAAACCCUCCGAUGCUCAGGUCAACGGAACCGCCGCUGCUCAUAGCCGCCGCCACCGCGACCGGAGUCCAUCGUCGCCGCCGCUCAAGCAAAAGCGCUGUCUGCUAUGGAAGGUUCAGAGUUUCCCAGUAGAAAUGGUCCAUCACCCUUGAGCCAAAAGGAUUCAAUCUUUGCUAAAGAAGCUGACAGGAGCUUUUCAGCUUCUGCUGCUGCUUGAGGAUCCAAAGGCCGGCCAAAUAAAGGUGCAAGCGUAGUAUUGAUGACUACCCCAACUGUCAAGAUAAGCAUACUUCAGAAUGCGGUACAACAUUAACAGGUAAACAGUGCUGAUCAUGAAGACGGAAAAUAAAAAUGAGACUGCUCUAUAUGUAACUGGGUCAUUUUUAGACAAAAAUCCAGUUAUUCAAAAAGAUUAAUUUUUCCUUCUGCAGUUCUUCAAUAAGGGAUGGGCGGCCAACAAACAUUUACUGCUCCAAUUGCCAAAUUUUAGGAACAGGCCAGCUUACUCAGACUAAGAUUUCUACUAUAUCCAGUAACUCUACCAUGAUUCUUAGACUUCUUCACAUGCUGCACUUGGGUUUUGAUAAUAAGUUCAAAGUAUUUGCUUGUUUCGACAUUUUUGCCCAAUUGGUCAUGGACGUUUAAGUGUUAAGCGACCCUCAUAUAUACUCAUCUUUUGCAGUCUGUUAA